UACGUAGGGUGCGAGCGUUAAUCGGAAUUACUGGGCGUAAAGCGUGCGCAGGCGGCGCCGCAAGUCAGGCGUGAAAUCCCCGAGCUUAACUUGGGAAUGGCGCUUGAAACUACGGUGCUGGAGUGUGGCAGAGGGAGGUGGAAUUCCACGUGUAGCGGUGAAAUGCGUAGAGAUGUGGAGGAACACCGAUGGCGAAGGCAGCCUCCUGGGCCAACACUGACGCUCAUGCACGAAAGCGUGGGGAGCAAACAGGA
rnacentral:rRNA from 1 species